GGCAGGAUAGAGUAAUGGUAACUCGAGCGUUCCCUUAGCGCUCAUUGGUGGUUCGAUUCCACCUCCUGCGCCCA
rnacentral:tRNA from 1 species